GCGACCCCAGGUCAGGCGGGGCUACCCGCUGAAUUUAAGCAUAUCA
rnacentral:rRNA from 1 species